rnacentral:lncRNA from 1 species
AGGGCCUUUACUCUUUAGAGAUGCUUGAUAAAGCUCAACCAAUUAUCUUGGUACACGGCAAAUUUUCGCCCAGUGCCCUUUUCCACCGCAACGAUAAUAUUUAUUUUAUGAACUAUUUGCUUUUGGAUUCUCAUGGCAUCGUGCUUGUGGCAGAGUGACCAACUUCAGGUUGUCAUAUCUCUCCUUUAAGCCAUUCCACAAGAUAGGUGGAUCUUUGACUGUGAUAUAUUCAAUUNN